CCCUUUUUUCUGGGCACGGAUCGGACACUGAUAAGGUCUAAUGGGCGUGCUUAGCUUGAAGUGCCUUCCCUAUUGCAUUCUAAACUCCGCCCCUCUUCUCUUUCAGGUCUUCAAAACGGAAACACCCCCAACGGUUGCCAUUUUACUUUGGCCAACGCUUGACUGCAAUUGUAGCUGUCAAAGCAAUAUUCCAAAGAGUGCACUUCCCGUUAAUUGCUGUAUGAAGAAAGUGUGUCUCUGCUCGCAUUUGAUUGAAGUUGUCGGUGCUGCUGAGUGGUGCAAGGGGGCAGCGGUUCGCACAACAAAAAGGGCUGAUCUCGGACGCCAAUAUCACCAAUGCUACAGAUUACAGAACAGAUGGUAUAUGCCAUGAAUUGUAAGGAAGCCACAGAGAAGGUUGUCCAGUCAUGGUCACGUUUCAACUCCGCUGGCCAAACUACUCUACUGGAGACUCUGAAAGCGUUCAGUCCUAUGUCAAAAGACCUUUUCGAUACUGAGAAAGAACUGGCCACUUUUAUUGAGGGACUCAAAGAUGAAGGUCACAAGCCUACUGUACUUAAAAGCAAAGAUGUUUAUGGUUACAGGUCUUGUACUGCAGUACUGAGGCCUGUAAUAAAGACACAGAGCACACUGGACAUUGCUGUCUCAAAGGUUCAAAAGCCUGGCAAAAAGAAGGGUAGAAAACCCCAUGGCAAGAAGACUGAAAUCAACUAUUCUUUGUUAAGUGCAGCAGCAAAAGUUGUCCUGAAGAAUCAACCCACAAUUAUUUUGACAAAUCUGUCAAAGGAGUCUCUCAAACAGACUGUCCUCUCUCAACCACCGACCUUGGCUGUUGUGCCUGUUCAGAUGCAGUCAUACAUAAGACUGACUAACAUCACUGGACCCUCUACAGGCCACACAGCGAGACUGCAGUUCCACACAGGUGUAUGGUCAGGAGAGGUGACUGUGCCCAACUCUCAUCGACCACUAUCUCUAACAGGUACCCAAGUACAGCCUUCGGAAGGUACCGGAAACUUAGCAAAAUCUGUCACUUUGAGGAGAGUGAACUUUUUGCCCUGCCCAGUCAAUAUCAUCGGAGUGCCUGCCAUACUGCAAAACGACCGGGUUUUGAAGGAAUGCAACGGAAUGCCUUGCUGGAGGGACCAGAAAAGGAAAAGGACUGACGAGGCUGAAGACAAACUCUGUGUGAAGAGGCCCAGAAAUGAGGUCUGGCUGAUCAAAGAGCAGUCUGAAGACCUUAGACUGAGUGAGAACAACCUGAGGUUCAAGGUGAUCAAGGUUGAUGACUCGAUCACCGAUGAGGAGGUGAGGAGGAAAGCCCAGAAGAUACUGCGAGUUAACUUGUCACCGGUCAUAGAGAUUCAACCACUUAUUGCCUACUCAAUGUGACCGGCCGUAAUAUCUUUGGCUGCGUUUACACAGGCAGCCCAAUUGUUUUUUUUGUUUUUUUAAACCCAAUUAUUGGCAAAGAUCUGAUCAGAUUGGCCAAAAGACCAAUAAUUGCGGGGGGGGGGAAAUAUUUUUAAUUGGUCUGUGUGAACACGGCCUUAAAGUCCUUUUGUCCUCCAUGUAAAUUUCAUCAGUUUGUUGCAUCUCAAGGCAGUGCUUUGUCUUUUAGCUGUGCUCAGCUUGGGAGUAUUGGGAUUGUUUGGGAGGCUUUUUGGAGAUUUGGAAAAUCCUAUUUCUUUGUUAAUAUGUUUAGAUAAGGGGACACUGGGUUAUUGCCUAAACAUCCAAAAAUAUGGUUUAAAGUUUUGUUUACACUGCACAUACUAUAGACUGCCCCUUGACUGUUGAGUGAUGGAAUGGUGAAGUGUGAGGCACAAUGGCUGUCCCCAUAUGAGUUGUACCUGCAGUAUAUCCUUUACAUGUGUGUUUUUGGGACACUGUGAAAUUCCAUUCAUCUGUUUUAUAAAUGAUACAAACAUCUGAUAAUGAAGCCAUGUCAUGUAUAACUAUGCAGCAUUCAUUUGCUAGAAUAUUACAGAUAUUUUAUAUACAUCACUUUUUAGUCAUGUCAUUUCUACUGUAUGUUCGAUUAAAGGGGCAAUUGACAUGGUGUGUUUUCCUGAUGUGUUAUAAAGGUAGUUUUUUCUUUUUUGGACAUGAUAGUUAAGAGAUCCUAGCUAUAUGUUAACAUUUUAUGGCUUUUAUUCUCAUUUGUACAAAGUUUAAGGCAUUUUAUUCCAUUAUCUGCAUUUAAUUUGUAGAAGAAUUUACAUGGCCUUAUGAGUUUUCAGUGUUUUUAAAGCCUCUGGAGGAAACGCUCUAGCCUAUAUUGUGUAUUAUCUGACAUUUAGAACUAUUCCUAAAGCAUUUUCUAGCUUUGAAAUUUGGACCUUGUUUUUUUUCUGUAAUUGGAGGAAGGUAUGCCAGUAGGUUUCUUUUAUUCAAGUAUCCAACUCUCCAUUAGGUUCAACUGAUUUGAUUUAUCCGUCCUUGACCUUUCCAUUCUCAAUCGAAGGCAGAGUAAAGCUUUUUUGCGUUGGGUUAUAUUUUGCUUGCUUUGAUUUUCAUGUGCCAAAUGUAUAUUUUUGGUGCUUCUCAAUUGCACUUUUCUUUUUUUUUUCUCCUUCUCCCCCAACUGAGAAUGUUGUCUCUGUUAGCUACAUAUUCUAAAUCACACAUGCUUUGAACAAAAUGUCUGAGGCACUUUUAGGUUUGUGAAGAGGUAGAGAUACAUUUCAUGUUCAAUGUAGCUUAAUUUAUAUCUAUUUAAAAAAACAACUUUUUUUAAAACUUUUUGUAUGAACCACAAUGAUACUCUUAACAAAGACAUCUGUUAACAUGUUAUGGUUAUUGUGUGUUGGGAAUUACUGUUGAACUGUAAAAUAAAGCAUUUUGACCACUUCUUUCUCUGGAUUACCUGGCAUUUACAUUUUAAUAAUGGGUCAUUCUACUCAUAACCAUAUUUGUGAUGACUAGUACCUUUUUUUAUUUCUUUACUUUUACCCCCCCCCCCCCCCCCCCCAAUUUCAUAAUAUCCAAUUGGUAGUUAGUCUUGUCCUGUCGCUGCAACUCCCGUACGAAGGUCGAGAGCCAUGCGUCCUCCGAAACACUACCCUGCCAAGCCGUAUUGCUUCUUGACACACUGCUUGCCUAACCCAGAAACAGCCGCACCAAUGUGUCGGAGGAAACAACGUACAACUGGCAACAGUGUCAGUGUGCAUGUACCCGGCCCAACACAGGAGUUGCUAGAGAGAAAUGGGACAAGGACAUCCCAGCCGGCCAUACCCUCCCCUAACCCGGGCGACGCUGGCCCAAUUGUGCGUUGCCUCUUGUCUCCCGGUCGCGGUCGGCUGCCACACAGCCCGGAAUCAAACCCGGGUCUGUAGUGAUGCCUCAAGCAGUGCAGUGCUUUAGACUGCUGCGCUACUCGGGACGCCCAAUGACUGGUACUUUUGCCUGAAACCUGAAUAGUUAAGUUCGUUCAAGCUAAAUCCUAGACAGACUUAAGCCUACAUAGUGUUGUGACACAGGAGACGUGGGUUCGAACCCAGUUGGUCAAUAGCAGUGUGAAGGGAAAUGUUUGCUUUUCUAAUAACCAAUUUGACUGGGUUCAUGCAAGUGACUGACCGUGCCUGGGAGAAUCCUCAUCAGUAUUGGAGAUUUUGUACGCCCAGAACAUUGUUUUGAGGAUGGAUAUCUCAGUUUUCAAGGUCGAAGCUUGGAGGGAAGCUUCAUGAGGUAUUGGUCGCUCACAUGCAUGCACCAAAAGUUAAUGGUGAUUUUUAUGAAUAAUGUAACUCAUGCAAAUAUAAUUUGUCUGUUUUAAGCAGUAUAUAAGAACGAACUGGACUGCCCUGUUGGAGCUCUUGACUGACGUGUAGUGUACUAUGGUGCAUUGAGUUUGUUGAAACCGCUCCAGCUUGCUGUUAAUAAAGAAUGAUUAAUUUAAGAUUGACUUCAGGUGUCCCUGGUGAUUUCCCUGACAAUUUGGCAUCACAAACUAAAUGAUUGGUUCUGCCUGCGGAGUUUUCCAGUGAGGGCCUGCGAGGGAAAACCGUUGGUGCACUUUAGAAAGCGUGAGGGGAAAUUCCUGUCUGACCAACAGACAAGGACCCUUCUGCGAGCUGCCCAGGAGGGGACGCAUCAUCCGUGGACAAUUGAGGGACACUGCAACUGAAUUUCAGUUAUGGCGCAGAUGACCACAGAAGGUAUCUCGAUGCACGGAAGGGAUAAUUCAACCAAGAAAGUGAGCCUCACCACCUCUAACCAUCUGAAGUAAUAGCAACAAUGGCGUUCACCUCUUCAUCCUGAGUCCAAGCCAGAAACCUGUACACAGUAUCCAGUUGAAGCUAUCAACUGACCUUUCUCUCAUGCCUUUUCUCUCAGGAGUGCGACAUGAGUCCACGUGGAGUGAGCAUGAAGAGAGAACCUGUCCAAACUUCUCUCAUGCUGCUUGUCUACUUGGUAGGAAAAUGUACAAGACAUAAUGGACCGUAAAGGACAGUGGUGGCUCAGGUGGGUGAUUUGUCUGCUUGGGAAAAUCAGAUCAUUAUCAAGGGCCAUCCACUUUGAACAUGUGCCAUUGGGAGGACAAACUGAAAUACUAUCUAAAGAAGAAAAUGAAGAAAUGCCAGAAGAAUGAGUGCUGGGGGAGGGGUUAACCAUGCUCGUAAUUGAUUUAGGCUUGUCCAAAAUUGUUCAUUUGGAGUAUCAGGUUAAUUGUGGAGGUCGAAGGAAUUGUCCGAUGAUCUCCAAGAGAGGAUUGGGUCGAGGCACAGAUCUGGAGAAGGGUACACAAAA